rnacentral:lncRNA from 1 species
AUUCAGCUAUCCUGGGCUGAGGAUGUUAUGAUAUAUCAGAUUUAUCUCAAGAAGCUUCCACAAGAGAAGGACAACAAAGAAGGUGAUAGAUGAAACAAGUGUGAUGAAGCUAGAUAAUUGUAUCAUAAGGGUGGGUUUGCAGACAACUUAAAAUAGGCCAAAUUAUAUAAAACAGUAUUCAGUCAGACUUUUUUUAGUACUGGGGAAGUACCAGUGUUUAAAGUCUUUUAAACAUUUCUCUGACCACAACAGUAUUU